rnacentral:rRNA from 1 species
GAAUCUUCCGCAAUGGACGAAAGUCUGACGGAGCAACGACGCGGGAGUGAUGAAGGUUUUCGGAGCGUAAAGCCCUGUUGCCAGGGAAGAACGCUUGGGAGAGUAACCGCCCUCAAGGUGCCGGUACUUGAGAAGAACGCGCCGGCUAACUACGUGCCAGCAGCCGCGGUAAUACGUAGGGGGCAAUCGUUGCCCGGAAUUAUUGGGCGUAAAGCGCGCGCAGGCGGUUCAUUAAGUCUGGUGUUUAAGGCUAGGGCUCAACCCUGUUUCGCACUGGAAACUGUUGAACUUGAGUGCAGAAGAAGAAAGUGGAAUUCCACGUGUAGCGGUGAAAUGCGUAGAGAUGUGGAGGAACACCAGUGGCGAAGGCGACUUUCUGGGCUGUAACUGACGCUGAGGCGCGAAAGCGUGGGGAGCAAACAG